GAUGAACGCUAGCUACAGGCUUAACACAUGCAAGUCGAGGGGAAACGACAUCGAAAGCUUGCUUUUGGUGGGCGUCGACCGGCGCACGGGUGAGUAACGCGUAUCCAACCUGCCCACCACUUGGGGAUAACCUUGCGAAAGUAAGACUAAUACCCAAUGAUAUCCCACGAAGGCAUCCGAAUGGGAUUAAAGAUUUAUCGGUGAUGGAUGGGGAUGCGUCUGAUUAGCUUGUUGGCGGGGUAACGGCCCACCAAGGCAACGAUCAGUAGGGGUUCUGAGAGGAAGGUCCCCCACAUUGGAACUGAGACACGGUCCAAACUCCUACGGGAGGCAGCAGUGAGGAAUAUUGGUCAAUGGGCGAGAGCCUGAACCAGCCAAGUAGCGUGCAGGAUGACGGCCCUAUGGGUUGUAAACUGCUUUUAUAAGGGAAUAAAGUGAGUCUCGUGAGACUUUUUGCAUGUACCUUAUGAAUAAGGACCGGCUAAUUCCGUG
rnacentral:rRNA from 1 species